AGCUUUCCUUCUGAGAGCGUGGGGAGCCUGGGCCCAGAACGUGAAGGACUAUCAUCAGCGUGCAACGCAACCACGUCACAGGAAGGUCGCUGAUGGGCGUGAAAAGCCUCUUCCUUUUGCUACUUGGAUGCCACCAUGGGCUCCAGGCUCCUGUGCUGUGUAGCAGUUGGUCUCUUGGGCGCAGGCUUUAUUGAUGCCAGAGUCACCCAGACUCCAAGACAUCUGGUCAAAAGCAAAGGACAGAAAGCAAGGAUGGACUGUAUCCCCCCAAAAGAACAUACUGUUGUUUACUGGUAUCAACAGAUCCAGAAAAAAGAGUUCAAGUUUCUGAUUAAUUUUCAGAAUGAACAAAUUAUUGAUCAAAUUGAGUUGGUCAAAAAGAGAUUCUCAGCUAAAUGCCCCUCAAACUCACCGUGCAGCCUGGAAAUCCGAUCCUCUGAACCAGAAGACUCAGCCCUGUAUUUCUGUGCCAGCAGCUGAUCCACAGUGUUGAAAUGUCCGCGCCUCUUGGUGCACAAACUCGUCCUGGACCCAAGUCAGGAAGCAGGUGAUGCAGGAAGUCAGGUAGGAAGGAAGUAACAGAAAUUAGCUGGAGCCAGCUUAAACCACGGUGGACGUUGCUGUAUGGCUAACCGGGGUCUAACAGCAGUCAAGGAGGGAUGGGGGGACAUCGCUGAGUGUCUCUGAGAAAACGCCACUUGUGUCACGGUCUGGAAUGACUGCCUCUCCAGCUCUCAUUUUCCUUCUCUUAUUUUGUCUGCUUCAUGUUAUCCUCUCCUUGUAUU